CCUGCCUUCUUCCAACUUUGUACUUUGUCGUAUCAAAAAUUAUCAGUCAAAAUUGCCAAUAACAAAACAGCUAAAAAAAUUCUCUGAACUAAUUGAAGUUUGGAAUUCCUCAACAAUUUUAUAGCUACUCUUAGGUUAUACAUACAUUUGUUUCACCUGUCAUCAGGAGAUUUGUUAAAUUUUCAUCCAUUGGUUUCUGCUGGAAUUAUAUGGAUCGGAAAAUGAAUGUAUAUAUCUGGGACAUGGAUGAAACCCUCAUAUUGUUGAAGUCGUUAAUAAAUGGGACAUAUGCUGAGGCAUUCAAUGGAUCCAAGAAUGUACAUAGUGGUGUAGAAAUUGGUACGAUGUGGGAGAAUCAUAUUCUUAAGAUAUGUGAUGACCACUUCUUUUACAAGCAGGUUGAAAAUUGCAAUAUGCCAUAUCUAGAUGUCAUGAAACAAUAUGAUGAUGGUCGAGAUCUCACUGACUAUGACUUCAAUAAAGACGGCUUUGGUCCCCCAAAUGAUGAUCUUAACAAAAAGAGAUUAGCUUACCGUCAUCGGGUCGUAGCACAAAAGUACAAAAAGGGGUUACAUAGUAUUCUUGACCAAGACAUGAUUAAAUUGUGGAUCGAGCUUUAUGACGUCACUGAUAGUUAUACUGAUUUGUGGUUCUCAGCAGCUAGGACUUGCUUGGAGCAGUGUGCAGUUGGGAAUCGAGAUUUGGCCACCUCUACUGUUUCUACCAAUGAUGCAGGAGAUACUAUAUUCCAGCGUGUGAAUAUCUUGGUGACUUCCGGAUCGUUGAUACCCAGCUUAGUUAAAUGCUUGCUCUUUCGCCUGGAUGAUUUAUUCCCUAGCGAAAACGUUUACAGCUCAUGGGAAGUGGGCAAGCUCCAAUGCUUCUCAUGGAUAAAGGAGCGGUUCAGUGGGCCAAACGUGCAGUUUUGUGUUAUUGGAGAUGGAUGGGAAGAAUGUAACGCAGCAGAAAGUAUGAGAUGGCCAUUUGUCCAAAUUGACCCGCGGCCUAGCAGUUUACAUCGGUUUCCAGGCUUAACACCAAAAGAUCUGGGCCACUACAUCUCGGUUGUGUAUGGCGAUUGUGAUGAAAGUGAUGAUGAUAAACUAACUCCUCCUGACCAUUGAUCAUGUAAAUAUGUAGUAGCUUCUUGGAAGACUUCAAUUCAUGCAUCAAUAGCUUUUUCACCAACAAGAUAGUUUGACAUUAAAAGAUCAAGUUGUGGUUCAUUUCGUGCCCUAAAAUGAUGAACGGGAAAAGUAGAUGUGCUGGUCUUUUUCAAAACAAUUGAACCAUGUUUGAGCUAUUGGAUAUUCAUGAUCAAUCGGCUCAAAUAAAUUUUAUAUUAUGGUCAUUUUAGCUUAGGUAGUUUACAUACGGUUCCUAUACCACAUUGAUAUAAGUCAUAUACCAUAUUGAUACAGUUCGUAACAAAAAUAAAGCAGCAAAUUUAUGAAU